AUCCCCCGACGCGCACGCGAGAGAAACGUCAUUUAUUUUCUUUUCAAGAAUCGCACGCUUGUUGCGGGUACCUAGUGUUGAAGAAUAAUUAAAAUUUUUAUCGAGAUUUUUAUAUACAAAUUCCGUUUGUAUGUAUAAAAUUUUAGUAGUUUAUUGUGUACUACAAAUAAAUCCGCCUGUAAGCUCGGCUUUGUUUACCGGCAAGUUGCGUGCUGCUGUGCUGUAGCCUCGACGGGAACUUUGUCAUCCCGAUGGACAACCGGAUCACGAUUUUCGAUUGAAAAUCAAAAAAUCGCGCCCCCGUCGCUGGAAAAUUACCGCACUGGAUCUUGGAUGGUGAUUGAAAUCUGGAUGAAGCACAUUUGCGGUGGAUUUGUUGCAAGCGACGACGAUCCAGAUCAUGAUUUCUUGGAGCGCAUUCACCGGAUCAUGUCUAUAUAUCCAUAGAGCGAGAAAAUUGAACGUGAACGGCAAGCGUUACACCGGGGGAUGGUCGGUGUUCGUACGGUUUGCUGGAGGACGACCAAUGGGGUUUGGCGAAACGUCGAUUCCAGGGGCCCGCAUGCAGCAAGGUCUCGAUGCAUGUUAGGUAGGUGUAGUUUUUUCGAGUUUAACGUGCCUGCACCCUCCAUGGUCGAUUCACCGCAACCGACGGAGUUUUCGGAACUGACUAGAUAGUAGAUUAUCAAAGAAGAAAUGCUGAUGGCAUCUCCGCUAGAAACGUCGGUCGAACCGAAAACUUGCUAUAGCAAAAGUUUGCUCUCAGCGCCCGAGUACGGCUGCGGGACGACGACCGUAUCAAGUUAUGGUUGGAAAUUUUGUACAGAGUUAGAUACUGUACGUGCCUAACUCUAUACAAAAUUUCAAAUCAAUCGGUUUGAAAUUGACUUAGUUAUAGCGGCAAGUGGCCAAAUGGUACAAGACCCUAGGUUGGCAAGUAUUUGUGAGAUCAUCACGCAGUUAAAUGCUGUUUUAUACCAUUUGUUUAUUGCUAUUAUUUUGACUAAGAGGUUGAAUUCUUCUUCAUGGGCUUACGUCCCCACUGGGACACAGCCUGCUUCUCAACUGUUGAGCACUUCCACAGUUACUAACUGAGAGAUUCCUUCGCCAAUACCAUUUUUCAUGCGUAUAUCGUGUGACAAGCAUGGAGAUAUCUAAUGCCCAAGGAAUUGAAGGGAAUUUUCAUUACAAAAAGUUCCUGGAACGACCGGGAAUCGAACCCGUCACCCUCAGCAUGGUUAUGCUGAAUACCCACACCUAUACAGCUGUGGCUAUAUUGCCCUUCAUGCUUAAUUGUUUAUUCGUUUUUUUUUUAUUUUUUAAGGACAGACUUGUUAGAAUCCCAAUAUGGCCGCCACAAUUGCCGACUUUGUCACCUACUCACGAUUUUGAGGGCACAAAUCUCCUCGUAAACAAAUCCAGCGCACCUGAGCUUCUUAUUUUAAGCUUAUUACAAGUGAGCAAGAACAGAAUAAUAAAAUGCAUUGUUGUUUGAAGCUUGCUUCUUGAGAUUUGUGCGUCUGAAGUUUUGAUGCACUGUUGAACCGGGAUUUUAAGACGUUUGUCCUUGAAUAGCGCUAUUUUUUUUACAAAAGUAACAGAAUCACUUCCCAUUUUUUUAAUUUGAAGAGCAUAUUCUUUCUGGUGUUACGUUCUCCAGGGAUUUUCAGGAAUUAUAUAAACAUAUUCCGUGAAGCUACUGACUUUAAUAAAUGGUUGAGAAAAAAUAAUAAUGCUUAGAAUAAUCCCAGAUGAAUGGGAGUUUCUGAGAAUCUAGUGAUUUUCAGGAAUUAGGGUAUCACGCCACUUGGGCGGUGGCUUCUAUAUUCGUCUGUUUUCCACUAUAACUCAGUCAAUUUUGAAUCAAUUGACUUGAAAUGUUGUACACGGGUAGAUACUAUACCUAUCUCACCACAUUCCAAAAGUUGUGUCAAUUUGUUCAAAUUUGACUGAGUUAUAGUGGAAAACAGACGAAUAUAGAAACCACCGCCCAAGUGGCGCGAUUCCCUAUUUAAACAUAUUCCGCGAAGCUCCUGGCUUCUAUAAAAUGAUUGAGAAUAUUUUUUCAAAUACUUAGAACAAUCCAAGAUACAUAUUUGGGAAUUUCUGAGAACAUUUUGUAUGAACAUUGGCUUUCACUGCUUCGACCUCAACUGUAAGGCCGUCUUCAGUGUCUCGUACUUGACUCGACGAGUACAACCGACCUCACCGACCAAAACUUGAUAUGAAGGUGUUCUCUAUGUUAUGCUGCUUCAAUGUAUUUUUUUUGUACCGUGCGAGCACCAUAUUAUAGACAGCUCCAUAUUCUGAACAGUUGACUAACGCAAAAUAGAUUUUCCUUUUAUGAAGCAUAUAUUGCAUCGAGAGUUGAGGUGCCAAUUUUAUUAAGCCCCUCUAUUAUCCAAUCGUUACAAAACAUGUCGUUUUUGACUGAACUGCGAACGUAGAGAAUGUGUUUGUACUUAGUAAGUAACACUAUGUGUUCAGAAUUAGGACCACGGCAUCUUAUGGUGUCCAUAAUUAGGAUCACGUCGUCCUCCAACAAAAAUAUGUCUAGAUCAGAGACUGGAAGUUAUUAUGAGAUUUAAUUUAUUUUAUACAUUUAGCUAGACAACAAACACACUUGAUGGUAAUGUAAAGCAUUAUCUCUAGCAACAAGAACUUCCAUUUAUUUUAGUGUUUGUUGUGAGAUUCCCUUAACCGUUCAGAAUAUGGGUACCGCACGGUAAUUUGUAAUUUGUAAUUUUAUUAAAAACGAUAACCUGCCAGUAUACAUUUUAAAUGAGGUCAAGGAAACAUACUUAUUUUAAUAUUACUUAGGAUACUUACAAUAUUGGCCAAUGACUUAUCUUGACCCACCCUUCUCAUUGCAACCUUACAUAUUUAAUGACUAUUUGCUCAGCUGUUGUAAGAUUAUAUGUACGUUAUCUAAACAUGUUUAAAACUCAUCAAUAACGUUUCAGCAUACUUGAUUGUUCUGCAAUAAAAUCGUCUAAAAAUUACUCAAAAAUAGCUCCUUUGAGGCCAAAUUGUGAAGUUUGAGAAGCUACAAUGAAUUAGACCUUCCAAUAAUUCAUCCAUGCGCCAGCACCUGUGGACGAAAAAUGCUUCGCGCAGAUGGCUCAGCCGAAUUGCCGAAGAGCAUUACCACUCAUGCUGUGCUGGUUAGCUAAUUGGGUACGAGGAGUGGUUCUAAUUAUUCUGUAAGUUUUUCCAAUGGAUCAAAUGGCAAAUAGUUGCAUAUACAAAACGUGUAAAUAGAUUACAAAAGUCACAUUUUCUCUUAGUUUUGCGAAAACCGUCUUGCGUAGACUUUUUCCAUCCAAAAAAUAUAACAGGCUCUUCCGGGGAAAUAUGGGUCAUGGGUAAGAUAGGUCACGGGCCAAGAUUGAUCAGUACCGUUUUCGAGCGUUAAACCGCAUCUGAUGUAGGGCAGGCUUGGCAUUGGUCACCGUUGGCAGUCAUUUUCAAAUAACUAUGACAGUGUUUUGUAAUCCAGAGUCGUCACCCAAUCGCAAUAGGCUCGUCAAAUCAUUUAUUACGUUGCUCGGGAGCUCGUAGGUUUGCGAACGUCAGUUGAAUCUUCGCGUUACGCACUGUAACAAUAGAAAAACUCAUCGAAGUUUCCUAAACAUUGACCCUCGCCGCGUACUGAAGUGACGGUCGCGAGGUUCUGUUCAGUAGAAGAAAAAACCUGAUGCUUGCAUACCACAGCUAAUUUCAUUACUUAAUAGAAUACAUUUUACAAGUUACUUAGUUCUUGUGAAAAGUGAUAAAUCCACAAAGCACAGGCCGCAUUUGGGAUGUCGAUUAUUUAUAAUGAUAGCAUUGUGCUUUUUUUUCUCUAGGUGCUAUGGCAUAAGUUGAGAAGCACCCCAUUAUAUCGUUGGAGAAAAGUCAAUGUCCAGGCCCGAUCGGCACCUGACCCGAUCCCGGCGUAAUGUAAUGUUACUUGGAACCGUCCAUACAUUUCGUAGACUAUUCAGAAGGCGCGAGCGGGGUGGAUUUGACCAAAGUCUAGCGUACAUAUAAAUCUCGUCACUCAUCCAUUCUUCUCUUUCUGUUAUUUGCUUCACAGAUUGUGGAUAUAACACACAAUAAUAAAACAUUGCUGAUUUCUUUGUACCUUCAAAAGUAUUGGCAAACAAAUGACAAGAGUUUAUACGUAUAUUUAAAUUUUAUUUGAAAUAAGUAUACCGUCAGUGUACCAGUAGCCGCUCAUGACCCAAUAGCCGCUCACUGUUGCAAAAAUCAAGUUUUAACGCAUAAAUACCCCCUUUUCAUCGCUGAUAUUCUUGGACAAUAUAAAUUAUAUGAGAGCAAAGCUAUUUUAUGCAAUAUUUACCAAGUAACAUAAAUUUUAAAAACAAAACAGUAGAUUUUUUGAGCGGCUAUUGGACCCAAAAAAGCUGUAGAAAAUUUUAUGUGUUCCAAUAACCGCUCACGCAAAAAAAUACGUGAAAAUCGUAAAAACUGUCGAUUUUAGUACACAGUGUAUUUAAUCACUAUUAUACACUCUCGCUGAACAGGAAAAAAUAAUUGUAAAAACAUAGUGUUGCAAAAAUAAUUCACUUUUCCGCAAAAGUCUAUUUAAAAGAUGGCAUACAUUUGUCCGUGAGCGGAAUUAGGACGACUUUGGUCUCACACAAAUUCUAAUAAUAUUAUACUUUUAUGAUAAGUUCUACAUAAGUCUUGUUUUGUAACUGAUUGUACUUAGAUUAAACUAACUUAAAAUGCAAAAACAUUACAAAUUGGCUUACCAGUCAUUUAACAGAAGAUGUUUUUCUGCAAAACUGGCCUUAGAUGAGCGGAAUCUGGUACCCUGAUGGUAUACAGCCCGAAUAAUUUUGUUAAUUUACCACGUUUGUUCGCCUCCUUCCAUCAGCUUUGUUUAUUAACCUUCCAGGACGCGCGCCAUCAAGCAACCGAAACUGCACCGCGCUCGCGCUGUAUACGAAGAGCGAGGUUUUUUGGUAGUGUUGUACUUUUUACAACAGCGCGCGCUAAAGGGUUAAACUCUCCGGGGAGGACCUCAUACUCGAGCCAAGCUUUUGCGUGCUCUUGCGGCACUUUUCCGACUUAUUACAGCCUAGGCUUAUUAGGGCUCUCAGCACAAGAUCCCAGUACACAGGGUCAAUUUUUUUUCAAAAAGAAAAACCACUCGAUCCAGUGGCGUAGCCAGAAAUUGUCUCUGGGAGGGGUUUUCAACGGUCAAUGACCCCUUUCUUAUUUGACACUUACAUUUUGUAAACAGUAAUGUUUGAAAAUAGCGGCGCAGCCGAAAAUUUUUUUUUCGCAAAGCGCUUUAUACUGAAAAUUUGUUCCACAAAUGUUGGAUCUGGAGAGGGGAUUUAACCCUAAAACCCCCCCGUGGCUACGCCACUGACUCGAUCGAAACGGAUGUUUGAUAUUUCACCAUGGGUGCUUGAGGCCUUAAUGAAAGACUUUAACGUUGCUUUAACUAAUUGACGAUCAAACGGAAAGCUACAAGGCGCAGGUGGCGUUUUUCUAAAUAAGUAAUUCACGCGCCCUUGACUCACUCACUAAUGAUACAAAUUGAAGAUAAGUGACAUUUUUGCAGUUUCUGGUAACGUCCCUACAAUAUAUUGACCAGAAAUAUGUUAUUUUUGCUUUUAAUGUUGAAAAUUUUCCGCCUAUCUGCCUAUCAGGGUUUGGGUUUGUAUCGCGACGCGAGUUACUUAGUGGUUUAUAUAGUCAGGAUUCGUUAUACACGGUGGGUGGUACCUUACGCCCACCUCAAUUUUUCGGCUGCCUGUAGUUGCGGUAUAUCCUAGGCUAAUUACCUUCCAAAAUUGAACUCAAUUGAUUGAAAUACAACAGCCUUGGCCAAGAUCACAGGGUUUGACGGUAUUAAAGUGAAAGAUCCUCUCCUCUUCUUGGCGUAACGUCCUCACUGGGACAAAGCCUGCUUCUCAGCUUAGUGUUCUAUGAGCAUUUCCACAGUUUUUAACUGAGAGCUUCCUCUGCCAAUGACCAUUUUGCAUGUGUUUAUCGUGUGGCAGGCACGAAGAUACUCUAUGCCCAAGGAAGUCAAGGAAAUUUCCUUUACGAAAAGAUCCUGGACCGACCGGGAAUCGAAAUCGAAAUCGAAAGUGAAAGAUGUUAACUUUAAUUCUUCUAAUGAAAAUAUCACCUUUGACACUUUAAUGCGCCUCAAACGGUUCAUUGCUAACCGGCUGCUGCAGAUGAAGAUUGAGUAUGGCUGAUUUAUCAGAGAUGUUCGAUAAACAGGAGGGACCUACUAGCACUUAGUAGAUUCUAUACCCAGAAAACAGUUUCAGUCGGUUGAGUCUGGAAGGGUUUUGAGAGUCGUUGUGAAUCAUAAUGAAAGUAUUUGUGUUUUGUGACGAAUCUUAGAAUAUUUUUGGAGUCAGUAGACUUUGAAUUGUUGUCUGGAGCUUCCUUCCCACUAUUUGGUUAAAUUUAACAAACACAUAAAAUUCAAUCAAAAUAUGCAAUAACUAGGGUAUCGGUUCCCUUAUUAACCCUUAUGUGGCUGACAGGGUACCCGGGUACCCAGCGCCCAUUUAAAAAGCACGGUGUAGAAAAAAGCAAAAAGUUUAAAAUAAACAAUAAAAGCAAAAAGUUUGUCGGACACAUAACGGUUAAGCAUGUGACUCCCAUUUUCAUGCUAUGAAAAACAAAGGAUUGAAGCAUUGUUUGUUUUGUUUCUUUUUUUAUUUUUUGUUAGAAGUGAGCACCCAUGAAAACAAAAAUAACGGAAUCAAUCGGUGCCGUAAUUGCUUGUUUUCGAAUAGGAUGAAUAUGGGAGCGUGAGAUUACUGAUGGCACACAUACCCUAGUAGUAUCUCGUAUAUUCAAUUUAUUUAUUACAGGUACUCUUCGAUGUAACGUACAAAUAUAUUUUCUCUUUGUAUGUUAUUGACCAAUCCAAAUUCCUGUGUGGUAGUGGUUUGUGUUCAGAUUUCCCGUGUUAAUCUAUCUGUAAGAAGUUUGUAACAACUUUUGUUCUCACGUAUAUGGAUAGGCUUGCAGUAGGUUUCGUGAGACUGUUUUUGGACAACUCAAUAUCGAAGCAGAAAAAAUAUAAUAUUUUUUAUGCUAGUUAGUGUUGACCAAUCCGUCGUGAAACCAUCCCCAAAUAAUGAUUUCGGUAAAAUUCGCAAAACCAAUAAUGAAAAACACGCCGUUUGCGCUGUGUCGACCAUCCAGCCCGGCGAUCGCCAACCAAUGGACAGCUACGACGACACCGGAUACAACAACGAUACCCGCUCCCACAGUACUGCCGAAGGAUCGGCUUCGAUCAAAAAGGGUAGCUAGAGAGCAAAUCGCGAUGACAGACUGUCAUUGUAAAACCAUUGUUCUUGACGAAGCAACAAGUAAAUCUUCCCAGUGAAUUUGAAAAUACAUGCCGCAAAUUUAUUAAAUUGUUAAUUAUUUCAUGCGCUUUACUGCGAUUGAUAUUACUUAGAUUUAAAUCAGUUUUUUAAGGUGAGAGUCCUAUACUGCCCCCAUUGGCACAACAGUCCCAUGUGAAUAGGAAACCCAGCAAACAAGGGACUGUUAUGCGUAUAGGGGUAUCUAUAAUAUGAAUGGUUAUUCUAAUCUAAACGGCCUAAAGGCCUUGUAUUGUAGGACGUUCUAGGACACAAAUCGCAUACGUGGGCCAUUGAAUUGUACGAUCCUGCAAUCAAUACCUUCAAAAAGGUAAAAUAGUUAGAUUUGUUAAACUACCGUACACACUAAACUUGCCAAUUAACAGGUUCAAAAACUAAACGACAGACACGUCGAGCGUAAGUCAACCUUAUUGCACUUCAAUAUUGUUCAUAAAAACGUAUUUGUUCCGAGGAAUUUUAUAUUUUUGUUCUUCGAAAUGAAUAUAUUACUAAAAUUUUCGACUACGAGCGUUGUCGGCCAACACACGAGUUUUCACGAAAAAGUCAUUUCAUUUCUUGUGCUUCGAUAUAACGUACACUAAAAUUUUUCCCAAUUUGCGAUGAUUUUGGGUAACAAGGCUAAUGCUGCAACAAAACAUUGAUUUGAGUGAUUCCAAAGUUUAUCUGGGGGUUAUUACUGGACAUUUUUUUUUUCAAUGGUGUACGUUAUAUCGAAUUCGCUAUAUCGAGGGCACGUUAUAUCGAAGAUUACCUGUACAUACAUAGUUCUCUACAUUUGAUUUACUUACGUGAUUUAAUUUCGCUUUCAUUAUUUUCAUAAGUGAUAGUUUUGUGAGUAAACCCUAAUAUGUUUUGAAUGCCUAAAUGCUUAAUAAUGUUUUCGUGCAAUAUCAAUUUAAAAUAACUAAGAAAUUUAUAGUAGGAGAGUGCAGCAUUUAAUAGAGCUUGCUUAUAGAUUUGAAGCUAACGUGUGAUCAAGACUUAAGACGCAUAUCUGACAAAAUCGACAAAAAUUGACUACUUCGACUUAACCUUUUUCGAAUGAGUGUAAUCAGUCUCGUACCUUUUAAUUCCGCCCAAUUUUGCUUAUCCUUUGACAGA